CCGAUUUCCAUCCACCCAUAAAUAUUAUAUAUAGGUCAUGACGGCCAGAAAUCAACGACAGGAGUAGAUAGAUUAAAAUAGUCAUCUCGAGUUGAACAUCCGCAUGAAACCGACAAGAUGGAAAUACGGUAGUCAUUCGUAUAUAUGCAUAGCCAUCGCAGUGUUAUUGGCAAUCGGCACAAGCUUGUGCUCUGAUCUAUCGCUGAGGCAAAAUGGCAGCAGCUGCAACAGGGGCGGUGAAGUUGUUGGGGCAUAAGAUGAGCCUCUUCGUGACGAGGGUGGAGAUCGCUUUGAACCUAAAGAAAGUAGGGUAUGAGUUCGUGCAGGUGGAGGUACACGGGCAGAAGAGCGAGAUCCUGGUGAAGUCCAACCCUGUGUACAAGAAGAUCCCCGUCCUCAUCCACCAGGGAAAGCCCAUCUGCGAGUCCGCCAUCAUCGUGGAGUACAUCGACGAGAUGUGGACCAGCGAGCCUCCCAUCCUCCCCUCCCACCACUUCGACCGCGCCGUCGCUCGCUUUUGGACCACCUACAUCGAUGACAAGGUUGAUCUCCACGCCUUCCCUUAUGGCAUCCAUUUCAACGUGCUUUAAGCUUGAAUUUGAUGUGGCACUUAGAUCCUUCGUUUUCUGGCAGUUGCUUUCGCUGCUUAAGGCUCUCGCUUUCGGAGCAGCCGAAGGGUCCUCGAAGGCAGAAACAGUAGACCGAGUGGCAGAAGUGCUUCAACUGCUGGAAGAGGCUUUCGCCGAGUGCAGCCACGGGAAGGACUACUUUGGUGGUGACACCAUCGGCUACGUGGAUAUCGCCCUGGGGAGCUGCUUGAGAUGGAUGAAGACGGUGGAAGAGAUAAAGAACGUCAGGCUUUUGGACGAGAAGAAGGUGCCGCUGUUGGUGGAUUGGGCGGAGCGCUUCUUGCAGGACAAGGCUGUGAAGGAAGUCACGCCGGAGAUUGACGAAUUCCGACAAUAUGCUAAAAUGAUUUUAGCAUCUGCUCGUUAAAAUUCUAUAUGACUUGGGUUUCAGUUUGUGAUCAUUCUGCGUGAGAUUUGGGUUUAUGUUUUGUGAUCGUUGCACUAUGUUUUCUGCUGGUUUGUAGGAAUUGCGCUAUGUUGUUGGCGUCCGUGUUAUUUAACCAAAUAAGUUAUUGCCAUAUGGAUGAUUUUGACUAAAUGAAAUAUUAUAUUGCAUGGCGACCAGAAAUUAACACGAAAAGAAGAGAAUGGACAGAUUAAAGUCGCCAUCCUCGAGUUGAAUGUCAAACAUUUCUUGGCGUAUACGCAACGACAAUAUCCUUGGAAUAUAUACAUAUAUAUAUUUUGGACCAACACAGGCUUGUCCUCCAGUCUAUGACGGGAGCAGAUGGCAGCAGCGUUGGACCUUCGCCCCUUCGUCAUGAGGGUGGAGAUCGCUUUGAAGCUAAAGAAAGCAGCGUACGAGUUCGAAGAGGUGGAAAUACUUGGGCAGAAGAGCGAGAUCGAUAGAAGAUCGGAGAUAAAUAUGAAAUCAUAAUUUUAUAUUUUUAUAUAUUUCAUUUUUUAAUUAAUUUAUAAUUUGAUUGAGUAAUAUAGAUUUAAAUUAAUUAUAGAUUUAAAUGUAUGAUUUGAUUGAGUAAUCUUAGUGAUUGAUGGGGAGUAAUAUCUCCCUUCAAACCUAUAUAAAUAUAUAUUACUCUAACGAAUGAAAUCAAUCACUUUCACAAUAAAUUUCUUACUUUUUUAUGUUAUCAAAAUUACUCGUUUUUCUCUCCUCUCUCUUCUUUUACCUGUUCUUUAUUGUGCUCGGAGAUCGAGUCUUCAUGUCCAUGUUCACAAUGAGCAGUUAUUGUCAUCUCCUCUGUCCCCUUCUCACAUCACAUGCAUACCGCAAACAGUGAUCCCUUGUUGAUCUGCAAUCAAAAGGUGGGCCGCAACCAUCCUCCCCUCUUGCUCUAAUGAAUCCUCCCUUGGUGCUUGGUGCAUGGUGCCAAUUACUUAUUCAACGAUAAAUAGUGCAGCAUCCAAUCAUAUCUGACAUAUAUGUCAUUUUCUUUCAUUUAUUAUUUCCUCGUGAAACAAUAGUUCAUCCCAAUAUAUAAGACUCAUGUAACUACUUUAACCCCUUUCAAAUUUUUCAAAAAUGAUAAUUAUGUAUCUUGACUAGCAUAAUUCACUAAUAUCUUCUUUGGAUAUGAUCUAUUAGAGUACAUCGACAGCUCUCUUAGUUAUAUAUCAGAAAAGAUCCAAAUACUUAAAAAAACUCAUCAUAAUGAUAAAUUCUGAUAACAAGUUAUGACUAUGACAAGAUCAUCCUAUUUUAUAAGUCAUCCAAGCUUUAAUCGUUGGCUCCAUAGCACCACUAAUCUCUUUGUAUAAUACUAUAACAUAAUCAUAGUCCAAGUUAUAAAUCAUCUUCGUCAAUCGCUCUUGCACUUUUAUGCUAAAUCUUUUAUCUACUUUGAUGAAAAUAAUAUGGAAGUACUAUUGCUGAUUAUAUAUAAAAUCUAAAAAAUACUUAAGGAUGACUUGACUUAAUAUGUUAUUUUCUGAGUGAUGAAGAAAUUAUUGUUUAUGUGUUUAAUAGCCUAGGAGAUGAAUAUAAAGAAUUGUCCAUAGCAAUUUGGGCAUAUGACUUAUCAAUGUCAUUUAAAAAACUAUAUUACAAGUUGAUUAAUUAUGAAAGAUAUGUGAUACCAGAAAAGAGGAUGACGAAAUCAAUAAUCACAAUUUAAUUCAAUCAAAAAAAAAAAAAAGAUAAUUAAAGCAACAAAAACUUCAUAAAGAAUUAAAUAAGAUAUCUCAUGGAUAAAUGAUAACACAUGGAGCUAUCAUCCUCUAUUAUACUAUCAAAGCAAUAACUAUGGUAGCAAAUUCAAAUUAAUCAACUCAAUAAAUAAUUUUAACUAUAACUAUUAAUAGUUAUAACAUCCUAAUAACAACAAUCAAUAAAAAAGUCAUCUAUUAACUCUAUGAUAAAAUAGGAUACAUAACAAAAGCUUGUUGGUCUCGACCCAAGUCUAUUGUAAUAUCCAAUUGGCCUCGAGCAAACAUCAUUACUACUCCAAUACUCCAACUGUUCAUCCAAGUAAUUGAAUUGUUGACUCCAGUACCUCUCAUUAUAUAAUUUCUGAUUUAUAAAAAUUCACAAUAACUAUGAAAGUAAUGAAGAUAUCAUUAUCGAUGACGGUAACAGAAUUCAUAUUAUUCAUAUUAGUUUCACAACACUUAAUUCAUACAAAAACAUUUGUACAUCUGAUGAUGUUUUAUGUGCAUCUCAUAUUAAAAGAAACCUUAUUUCUAUUUCUCAAUUCUAAAAUAAAAUAACACAUCUAUUAAGUUCUUUCUUGACUUAUUUUUUAUCAAUAAUCUUAGUAGGGGGCAUCUAUGGUCUAAUAUCAGAAAAAAGAUGACAUCUAUGAGUGAGUGAUCAUCAGCUUCACAAAUCAUCCGAUUAAUCACCCUUACUUCAAUUGUUGCUUCAAUCAAUGUGUGACAUCACCACCUUGGUCAUUCAUCAUCAUCCAUUCAACAAUAUCUAAUUUCUUAUUGCUUCAUUUCAACUUUCAAAUUAAAUUGAAUUACAACUUAUUAUGAUGCUUGUCUUAGUAAUAAAAGACAAACUAUUUUUUAGAAUAACUUUCAUAUCAUGCUUUAAAUCACUUGAAAUUAUUUAUACUAAUGUCUAGGGCUCUAUCUUAACUAUUUAUUUUGAUAAUUUUAGAUUUUAUAUUAUUUUUAUAUAUUACUUUACUAAAUAUAUAUGGUUAUAUUCUCUUAAACAUUUAUCUGAAGUUACCAUUAUUUUUACUCGUUUUAGAAAGGUGAUCGAAAACACCUUCUAGACUACCAUUAAAAUAGUUUACUCUAAUAAAGGAGGUGAAUAUCAAACUCUAAUAAUUUAUAUUCCAGUAUAUUGUAUAUAAUAUCUUAAGUCACCACCAUACACAUCUUAACUAGUUGACUCUACAAAAUGAAAGCAUUAGUUGAAACUAAUUUCACCCUUCUACAUCAAGCCUCAAUGUUACUGACCUUUUGGUCAGUAGUUUUUUAAACUAUAAUUUACCUCAUUAAUUGAAUACUCACCCAAUCCUAUAAUAUCAAUUAUUAUUUAAAAAACUAUUUUAUUAUUUUAUAAAAUCUUAAAUUCAAGCCUUGUAUCUUCAUUGGGUACUCCACUGAACAUAAUAUUUUUCGAUGCUAUGAUUCUCAAAUUCAAAAUAUCUUUGUAUUAUAUCAAAUUAUUUUUGUUAAGUCUUUUUUUUUUUUAAAUCUCACUUUAAUAGUACAAAUCACUGCAAUAACUAUUCAUCAUUAGGUUCAUACGAGUACAUCUCACGUCCCCUAAAGCACACCUCCCACCGCAUCAAUUAAUAAUUCUCUAGACCUAUAUUCCCUUGUUACUCUAGUACAUCUCACAUCCCCUCGAGCACACCUCACCUUAUUACUCCAGUGCAUCUCAUAUCCCCUCAAGUACAUCUCACAUCCCCUCAAGCACACCUCACCCUCUUGAUGACACUUGUCUGUUGCAUGGUACUGUUACAAAAGUAUCACCUGUCUUACAAACAUUAUCAUUUUGUAGGAAAGGAGAUGUUCGAUCUUCUCCACCUACACGAUCACAGAGAAGUAGGCAGAAAUGAUAGAACUUCCCCUUCGCUUUAAUCCAAUAAUCCAUGAUGGAGUAUCCGUGGCAGAACCCACGGUUGCCGUGUCAAAUCAAACCAGAUUAAAGGCUCGCAGUGGUUUGUCACACUCCUACCGACCUCAGAAUAUAUAUCAUUUCACGGUACAAACUUCCGAUUUCCAUCCACCCAUAAAUGUUAUAUAUAGGUCAUGACGGCCAGAAAUCAACGACAGGAGUAGAUAGAUUAAAAUAGUCAUCUCGAGUUGAACAUCCGCAUGAAACCGACAAGAUGGAAAUACGGUAGUCAUUCGUAUAUAUGCAUAGCCAUCGCAGUGUUAUUGGCAAUCGGCACAAGCUUGUGCUCUGAUCUAUCGCUGAGGGAAAAUGGCAGCAGCUGCAACAGGGGAGGUGAAGUUGUUGGGGCAUAAGAUGAGCCUCUUCGUGACGAGGGUGGAGAUCGCUUUGAACCUAAAGAAAGUAGGGUACGAGUUCGUGCAGGUGGAGGUACACGGGCAGAAGAGCGAGAUCCUGGUGAAGUCCAACCCUGUGUACAAGAAGAUCCCCGUCCUCAUCCACCAGGGAAAGCCCAUCUGCGAGUCCGCCAUCAUCGUGGAGUACAUCGACGAGAUGUGGACCAGCGAGCCUCCCAUCCUCCCCUCCCACCACUUCGACCGCGCCGUCGCUCGCUUUUGGGCCACCUACAUCGAUGACAAGGUUGGUCUCCACGCCUUCCCUUAUGGCAUCCAUUUCAACGUGCUUAAAGAUUGAAUUUGAUGUGGCACUUAAUUCCUUCGUUUUCUGGCAGUUGCUUGCGCUGGUUAGGGCUCUCGCUUUCGGAGCAACCGAAGGGACGUCCAAGGCAGAAGCAGCAGACGGAGGGGCAGAAGCUUUUCAGCUGCUGGAAGAGGCUUUCACCAAGUGCAGCCACGGGAAGGAGUACUUUGGUGGUGACACCAUUGGCUACUUGGAUAUCGCCCUGGGGUGCUGGCUGGGGUGGAUCAAGGCGGUGGAGGAGGUGAGCAGCAUCAAGUUCUUGGACGAGAAGAAGGUUCCGCUGCUGGUGGGAUGGGCGGAGCGCUUCUUGCAGGACAAGGCUGUGAAGGAAGUCACGCCGGAGAUUGACGAAUUCGUACAAUAUGCUAAAAUGAUUUUAGCAUCUGCUCGUUAAAAUUCUAUAUGACUUGGGUUUCAGUUUGUGAUCAUUGUGCGUGAGAUUUGGGUUUAUGUUUUCUGCUGGUUUGUAGGAAUUGCGCUAUGUUGUUGGCGUCCGUGUUAUUUAACCAAAUAAGUUAUUGCCAUAUGGAUGAUUUUUACCAAAUGAAAUAUUAUAUUGCAUGGCGACCAGAAAUUAACACGAAAAGAAGAGAAUGGGCAGAUUAAAGUCGCCAUCCUCGAGUUGAAUGUCAAACAUUUCUUGGCGUAUACGCAACGACAAUAUCCUUGGAAUAUAUAUAUAUAUAUAUAUAUAUAUAUAUAUAUAUAUAUAUAUUUGUGUGUGUGUGUGUGUGUGUGUNNNNNNNNNNNNNNNNNNNNUAUAUAUAUAUAUAUAUAUAUAUAUAUAUAUAUAUAUAUAUAUUUGUGUGUGUGUGUGUGUGUGUGUUGGACCAACACAGACUUGUCCUCCAGUCUAUGACGGGAGCAGAUGGCAGCAACGUUGGACCUUCGCCCCUUCGUCAUGAGGGUGGAGAUCGCUUUGAAGCUAAAGAAAGCAGCGUACGAGUUCGAAGAGGUGGAAAUACUUGGGCAGAAGAGCGAGAUCGAUAGAAGAUCGGAGAUAUCUAUGAUAUGAUAAUUUUACAUUUUUAUAUAUUUCAUUUUUUUAAUUAAUUUAUAAUUUAAAAAUCAAUUAUAGAUUUAAAUAUAUGAUUUGAUUGAGUAAUAUUAGUGAUUGAUGGAGAGUAAUAUCUCCCUUUAAACCUAUAUAAAUAUGUAAUACUGUAAUGAGCUUUCAUAAUAAAUUUCUCACUUUUUCAUAUUAUCAAAAUUUCUUUUAUCUUUUCUCUCUUCUCUCUCUUCUUUUAUCAUACUCGGAGAUCGAGAGUUAUUGUCGUCUCCUCUGUCCCCUCACAUCACUUGUAUACUGUAAAUAGUGAUCCCUUAGUGAUCUGCAAUCAACCAACCUCCCCUCUUGCUCCAUUAAACCCUUCUUCAAGCAUGAAGUCUUCUCCUCACAUCACAGUAGAUCUAUCAGCCUCGGUUUGAUCUGUUGCCCUCUUGCGUCUUGUUAUCACCGUCGACAAUUUGCCUCUUCUAUAAUCUACAAAUUUGACUUACCUCUUGCACCUUGCUAUCACCAUUAGCAAUCGAUAGAUUUACCACUACCAUCAACCACAGGUGACAGCAAUCGACUAAUCAUUCUCCUCCAUUGAUCGUUCUUUUACUCCUUGCUCACUAGAUAGCAAAUACUCACAGAAAUACUGAUCAGCAACUACUGAUCCACAGUGCUCAACUAAUUGUCUUCUGAUUUGAUCUACUCUUAACUCAAUGGUACUAGACCUCCUGUUAGUGCAGGGUGCCAACUACUUAUUCAAUGAUAAAUAGUGCAGCAUCCAGUUCAACUACAUAUAUGUCAUCUUCCUCCCUCAGCUCUACUAUUCAAAAUUAUUGUUUUCCUCGUGAAACAAUAGUUCAUCUUAAUUUAUAUGACUCAUAUUUGUUAAUGCAACAACUUUAAUCCCUUUCAAAUUCUUCAAAGAUGAUAACUAAAUAUUUUGACGAGCACAAUUUACUAACUUCCUCGGAUAUGAUCUGUUAGACUACUUAGUUAUCUACCAUAAAACAUCCAAAUACUUUGGAAAACUCAUCAUAAUGACAAAUUCUGAUCACCUUAUUAUAUAAUUCAUCUAAGCCUUAAUCAUUGAUUCCAUAGUACCAUUAAUAUCUUUGUGCAUUACUACGGUAGAUAGUCCAAGUUAUGAAUCACUCUCGCCAAUCGCUCUUGUGCUCUCAUGCUAAAUCUUUUAUCUACUUUGGUUGAAAAUAAGAAGAAACUACUGUUGCUAUUUAUAUAUAAAAUCUAAAAGUUAUUAAGGAUGACUUGACUUAAUAUGUUACUUUCUGAACGACGAAAAAAUCAUUGUUCAUAUGCUCAAUAACCUAGGAGAUGAAUAUAAAGAAUUGACUAUAGCAAUUUGGGCAUGUGACUUAUUAAUGUCAUUUGAAUAACUGUAUGGCAAUUCGAUUGGUUAUGAAACAUAUCUGAUAUUAGAAGAGAGGAUGACGGGAUCAACAUCAUAGUUUAAUUCAAUCAAAAAUAAAAAAAAUGAUAAUAUAAGCAACAAAAACUUCAUAAAGAACUAACAAAAAUGUCUCAUAGACAAAUGAUAACACAUGGAGCUAUCAUCCUCCAUUAUACUAUCAAAGCAACAACUAUCGUAGCAAAUCCAAAUUAAUCAACUCAGUAAAUAAUUUUAACUAUAACCAUUAGUAGUUAUAACAUCCUAAUAAUGAUAAUUAAUAAAAAAUCAUCUACUACUCUAUGAUAAAAUUCGAUACAUAGCAAAAGUUUGUUGGUCUCGACCCAAGUCUGUUGUUAUAUUCAAUUAGUCUUGAGCAAACAUCAUAAUUACUCCAACUGUUCAUCCAAGUAAUUGAAUUUUUAACUUCGGUACUUCCUAUUAUAUCACUUCUGAUUUAUAAAAAUCUAUAAUAAAUAUAGAAGUAAUGAAGACAUCAUCAUUGAUGAUAGUAAUGGAAUUUCUAUUACUCACAUUAGUUCCAUAAUACUUAAUGCAUACAUAAAUAUUUUUAUGCCAGAUGAUGUUUUAUGUACAUCUCAAAUUAAAAAGAAUUUUAUUUUUAUUUUUAAUUUUAUAAAUCAAAUAACAUAUCUAUUGAGUUCUUUCUUGACUUAUUUUUUAUCAAUGAUCUUAGCAUAGGGGCAUCUUUAGUCUAAUGUCAAAAAAAAGAUAACAUCAGUGAUCGUCAGCUUCAUAAAUCACCCAAUCAGUAACUCUUGCUUCAGUUGUUGCUUCAAUCAAUAUGUGACAUUAUCACAUUGGUUAUCCAUCGUACUCUAUUCAAUAAUAUCUAAUUUCUCAUUACUUCAUUCGAACUUUCAAAUCAAAUUGAAUUGCAACUCAUUAUGAUGCUUGCCUUAGUAAUAAAAGACAUUAACUAAAUUAUCUAUACUAAUGUUUAAGGCUUUAUCUUAACCAUUUUCUUUGAUAAAUUUAGAUUUUAUAUCAUUUUUAUAGAUUACUUUACUAAAUAUACAUGGUUAUAUCCUUUUAAACAUUUAUCUGAGUCACCAUAGUCUUUACUUAGUCUAAAAAGGUGGUCGAGAAUAUCUUUUAGACUAUCGUUAAAAUAGUUUACUCUAAUAGAGGAGGUGAAUACUAAACUCUAAUACUUUACAUUUUGUUAUAUUGUAUACAACAUCUUAAGUCACUAUCACACACAUCUCAACUAGCUGAGUCUACCAAACGAAAAUAUCGGUUGAAACUAAUUUCACCCUUCUACACUAAGCCUAAAUAUUACUAACCUUUUGGUCAAUAGUUUUUUAAACUAUAAUCUAUCUCAUUAAUCGAAUGAAUGCCCUAAUCCUAAAUACUAAUCAUCAUUUGAAAAACUAUUUUAUAAUUUUAUAAAAAUCUUGAACUUUUAAAACCUCAAAGUAUAUUGUUAUUUAUAUUAUUCCUGAAUAUAUUUCUAUGCUUCAUACAAGUUAACAUCAAGAUCUAAGCCUUUCAUCUUUAUUAGGUACUCCACCGAGCAUAAUAUUUUUCGGUACUAUGAUCCUCAAAUUCAAAAGGUCUUUGUGUUAUGUCAAAUUAUUUUUGUUUAGUCUAUCUUUUCAUUUUAAAAUCUUACUUCUUUAGUAGUACAAGCCACUAUAAUAACCAUUCAUCAUUAUGUUCAUAUGAGUACACCUUAAAUCUCAUCAAGCAUAUCUCCCACCAUAUCAACCAAUAAUUCUCUAGACCUAUAUUUCUUUAUUACUCCUGUUCAACGGCACCUCACCCCCUUUGAAAAUUCUUUAUCUACUUUUCAACCAACUUAUUUUGCAAUGCCCAAUGAAGCAACACUCUCAUCAUCAUAAAUGAUGUCUUUGUUCUCUCCUCAGCUAAGUGACACAGAAGUGCAUGAGCCUGAUCAACCACAUGUCACUAACUCUUCACCAAUUUUCAUACUUUCAACACAACCCAAUAAUAUUAUUGAGCUUAAGACAUUACAUGGCAACAUGCUCCAAAUAUAAUAUUUUUAAACCACAUCAAAUCCUUGAUCUCUAUGCUGCUACUAGUUCUCCACUUGAGCCUACUAAACUCAAUCAUUACCCAAGCCUAAAAAUCUCUACACUAACAUAAAAUCAUGUGUGAGGAAUGUGAUACCCUAUUCUAUAAUGACAUAUCAUCCCAUAUAAAAUAUCAUCGGGUGUCAAUGAAUAUUUCAAAUUAAUCAUAACCCAGAUGGAUUUAUUGCCAAAUACAAAGCAUAUCUAGUAGUCAAAGGUUUUACCAACGAUCUAGUAUUGAUUUCAAAGGGAUCUUCAAUCUAAUUACUAAAUUAAUGAUAAUUUGACUUAUUUUGAAUUUGGCUAUUACUCAAUACUAGCAUAUACGCUAACUAGAUAUUAACACUUUAUCCAUCCUCAAUAUCCAAACUAUAUUUAUAAACUAUGAAAAACUAUUUCUGGACUUUACAAAGCUUUAACAGCCUACUAUACUUAACUUGAUUUUUUUUUUAUGUUAAUCGAUUUUGUCAAUUUUACGUUUGACACCUCUUUAUUCCUAAGAUAAUAAAAAGGAUGUACUAUAUAUCUACUAAUAUAUAUCGAUGACAUUAUUAUCAUAGAUACUAGUUUCAUGAAAAUCAAAUAAUUCCUUAAGUAAUUAAUAGAUCUUUUCUCUAUUAAGGACCUAAGAAUUUUAAGUUAUUUUUUUUGGAGUGGAAGCAAUGCAUAUAUCUUUUAAACUUUUAUAUCUUAAAAGAAGUAUAUUUGAAAUCUUUUAUUAAAGAUGAACAUGCGAAUUGUCAAAGAAAUCGUAACCUCACUUUCCACCACUCAAAUUAUAUGAUAACAGUUCUACUACGGAUCCCAUACAAUAGCAAUAAGUGCUUGGUUCCUUGUAGUAUUUAUCUUUACACAUCUAUAUAUUUUAUUUAUAAUUAAUAAAUUAUCAUAAUUCAUAUAUCGACCAUCGAUUAUGCAUUGGUCUACAUUAAAAUGUGUCUUAUGGUAUCUUAAAAAGACUCUCAAUCAUAUACUUCUUUUUCGUAAAUACUUAUAACUUCAUCUUUAUACCUUUGUCGAUGCUAAUAGAUAACACUGAUGAUAAAACAUUUACGUCAGCUUACAUUAACUUCAUUGGAGCAAAUAUGAUUAGAUAGAGUUUUAAGAAAUAAACAUAAUUGAAAUAUCUAUCACUGAAGCUGAAUACCGAGCCAUCAUCAUCUUCGCGAGUCACCAAUGAGUUACAUGAACUCGGUAUCACCUUUAAAUCCAUUCCUAUAAUAUACUGUGAUAAUAUUAGUGCCACUUACUUAUGCGCUAACCCGAUAUUCGAUUCACGCAUGAAAUGCAUUGCUAUCAAUUUUUUACUUUAUCAAAAAUCAAGUUAUCAGAAAUCAACUACGUAUUUUUUACGUUGACACUUUUGACCAACUAGUAGAUUCCCUUACAAAGCUUUUCGCUUGCAGGAUGUUUCAAUUAUAUCAGUUCAAGAUUGGCAUCCUUGACGGGAGCUCAAUCUUACAAGAACAUGAUAGAAUAUAAUAACAAAGACAAAUAUAAAAUGAUAACUUUAUAUUCUUUAUAUGAUAUAAUCCUUAAUUAAUCUAUGAUUUAAGGAUUAAACAUAUUACUCUAAUGAAUAAAUUUAAUUAUAUUAUUUUAAAAUUUAUAUAAAUAUAUAUUACUUCAAUAAAUAAAAAUAAAUUAUUUUUAUAAUAAAUUUCUACGCAUAAGAUCACAUGCCUCAUCCACCAGGGCAAGCCCAUAUCCAAGUCCAUGGUCAUCGUCAAGUACGUCCGACGAGGACAGGACGUGCGAGCCCCCCAUCCUCCCCUCCCACCC
rnacentral:lncRNA from 1 species